CGUACACUCCUACGGGAGGCAGCAGUGGGGAAUAUUGGACAAUGGGCGCAAGCCUGAUCCAGCCAUGCCGCGUGAGUGAUGAAGGCCCUAGGGUUGUAAAGCUCUUUCACCGGUGAAGAUAAUGACGGUAACCGGAGAAGAAGCCCCGGCUAACUUCGUGCCAGCAGCCGCGGUAAUACGAAGGGGGCUAGCGUUGUUCGGAUUUACUGGGCGUAAAGCGCACGUAGGCGGACUAUUAAGUCAGGGGUGAAAUCCCGGGGCUCAACCCCGGAACUGCCUUUGAUACUGGUAGUCUUGAGUUCGAGAGAGGUGAGUGGAAUUCCGAGUGUAGAGGUGAAAUUCGUAGAUAUUCGGAGGAACACCAGUGGCGAAGGCGGCUCACUGGCUCGAUACUGACGCUGAGGUGCGAAAGCGUGGGGAGCAAACAGGAUUAGAAACCCUUGUAGUCCCAUGAU
rnacentral:rRNA from 1 species